GACCAGUGAGACAGCUUUUUCAUAUACGUAGUUCCUGAUAUAAGAUCGACGCUUGGAGACAUAAUUUCAGUGGUGUGCUUGAAGAAACAAAAUGAGGCUCCCCAAGGUUUUAGCCAGCGUGAACCUGGUGCUGCUGCUAGUGUCAGCGAGUCAGGCGUUGCCGAGAAGCGCCAGCGUUCAGACUUCUUCGCACGACGCCGUCACUGUGGAAGAGCGAGUUCUCGGACUAUGCGAAGGAAGAGAAAUACACAAGAAAUGCCAGAGCAGCAACUGUGCUGAGAUGACUUGCGGUCAACUGCUUGGAACCCAGCCGAAGAAGCCAGCAUGCAGGAAGGACUGCGUGACCGGUUGCUUUUGCAGGAAGGGCUUCUACAGACAUCAGAACGACACGUGCGCAACAGCAGCCGAAUGCCGGAAGUCUUAAGGCAGGCUC